rnacentral:misc_RNA from 1 species
AACGCACAUUGCGCCCCCCGGUAUUCCGGAGGGCAUGCCUGUUCGAGCGUCACAAAAAAAUCCUCAAGCCUAGGCUUGACGUUGGGCGAUUGGGCCACCACACUUGUACCCUGGAAUUACGCCCCCUCACCCGGGGUUCCUAGCUCUAUUUCUUCGUGGCCCCGCCUCAAAUACAUUGGCAGCGGCGCGGAGCCCCGAGCGUACCAAAGACUUUUACGGUCUGCGCUACGUGAGCCCCCGCGAUCCGACUCCGCCUCCAUAAAUGACCCCAUUAAACACCCAAAUUUUGACCUCGGAUCAGGUAGGGAUACCCGCUGAACUUAA